rnacentral:rRNA from 1 species
AGAAUCAACGCUGGCGGCGUGCCUAACACAUGCAAGUCGAACGAGAAAGUGGAGCAAUCCAUGAGUAAAGUGGCGACCGGGUGAGUAACACGUGACUACCUACCCUUGAGUGGGGGAUAACCUCGGGAAACCGAGGCUAAUACCGCAUAAUAUCGACGCCUUAAUAAGCGAAGAUCAAAGGAGUAAUCCGCUUUUGGAGGGGGUCGCGGCUGAUUAGCUAGUUGGUAGGGUAAUGGCCUACCAAGGCGAAGAUCGGUAUCCGGCCUGAGAGGGCGCACGGACACACUGGAACUGAAACACGGUCCAGACUCCUACGGGAGGCAGCAGUGGGGAAUUUUGCGCAAUGGGGGAAACCCUGACGCAGCAACGCCGCGUGGAGGAUGAAGCCCCUUGGGGUGUAAACUCCUUUCGACCGGGAAAUAAUGAUGGUACCGGUGGAAGAAGCACCGGCUAACUCUGUGCCAGCAGCCGC